CAUGGUUUCGGAUUCACGUUUGGCUGCCGAAGGUGGUCUGGCCAGCCACCUAUUUAAGGGCCAAAGGUCGGUGGAAGGAGGAUAUUUCUCCUCCACUUGCAGCCAGAGGUGAGUUCCAGCCUCUCCCAAGUUGACUUUCAUGUUUUUCACCAAAUCUUUCAAGGGUUUUAAGAGUUUUGGUAUGUUUUGAAGGUUUUGAGAAAAAAUAGCAAGUUUGGAAGUUUGGAGCUUUGGAAGAGGUUUUCUUCAUAUCUCCACGUUAGGAUCACUUGAUCUCUUGUUUGGAAGAGGUAAGUCAAGAUCCAAAACCUCUUUUACUGAUUUUUGAACGUUUUAUGGGAGUUGUACGGAUAGUAUGCAUGAAUAGGGUUU
rnacentral:lncRNA from 1 species